AAACUAUGGUGGGGACACUUCAGAAUUAGGUCCGUAAAUAUUUUCCAACUCUCAUAAAAGUUUUCAUUAUUUUCUUGAUAAAAAUCAACAAUCUCUCUUCUCAUAGU